CAGCCGUCCACUGGCUUUAGUGUUAUAUGACAACCCCACGAAGAGCUGCACAAAGACAUUGUGCCUCUCCUUUAGCUUCCCUUUUCCAGGCUGAACACCACCACCACUGCCCUGAAUCUGACUUUAAGAAUCUGCUUCUCGAUCCCUGUUCUCCUGCUUGAUCCUCUUUGGGAUUACAAUUUGAAUGUCUGAAUCUCUAUGGCAUCAAGAAGUGUUUAGAUGUGGAUCUCUGUCUCUAUGACUUCACAUUCUGUACCCAUGAUGGAGACUGGAUGGAGAGGCACUUCAGGAGUAACCAGAGAGCACCCAAAUGCACAGUCAGCUGAGAAAAGAAAAGCCUGGUGACCCAUCAAUUCCAACUUGUACUGCUCAUAUACUACGAGGUUUGGGGACAUCUACUGGAGCAUGGUUGACCUACCAGAAGCCACAUCCUUAAAGAAAACUGAAUCUCCCUCCCCCAUCAGCCAUCAAUUAUCCAUAGGUCCUCAGGGGUAGGGGGCUCAUGAAUGCCUUCCCACUCCAUACCAGAAUGUCAAUCGGCUUGAUCUUGUGCAGAUCUUGUGCAGGCAGCAACAGCAGCUGUGAGUUCAUGAGAGUAUCCUGUCUUGAACAGAAGACACUGUUGCUUCAGUCUUCCCUGACCUCUGGCUCUUACAAUGUUCUCAACCACUCUUGCAUGGUGGCCCCUAAGCCUAGGGGAGGGGUGUGAUGUAGGUACCCCAUUUAUGGCUGAGCAUCCUGCUGAUCUCUGCACUUUGAUCAGUUAUGGAGGCUACUGCAGAGUUGCACAUCUGGUCAGGCAUGGAGAACAUGCACCUGGGAGAUACCCAGUAUCAGGUGACAUAUCUACAGUGGAAUUCCUACAGCCAAGGCUCAUGGAACAUAGCAGAAUAAGCGGUAGAGAGAAGGCUAAUGCACCCCUCAACUCUCAUCAGUGAAGCUUUCAUGUACAUCAGAGUGUAUCACACACAGAAAUCCUCAACUGGCCAACUUUUGGAGAAUAAGAGACUGUAGAGUAUAGGAUGGGACCCCUAUAUGGAAGCUCACCCACCCACGGCUCAGGGACCAUUGCAGAAGAGAAGGAGUAAAGACUGUAAGAGCCAGGGCUGGUUUGUGAAAGGUUGAAGUGGAGGCUUCCAGGUCAGUGGAGGCUUGCUCAUGUGCACCUGCGGUAGCAGUGACAUCCAAUGUGAGACCCAUGUCAGCUCAAUUAAACAAGGGCCCAAAGGGGAGGUGAGAAAUGGGUGGCAGAUCAGCACUGGAUCGAGAACUAUUUGAGACUGUUUGCUGCUGGGUGAGGGAGACUAUGACUUACA